rnacentral:misc_RNA from 1 species
ACCCAUGAUUACGAUGUCAAGAUGCGCUCGGUGAUGAAAUUCCUCGAGGCUGGCGACAAGGUCAAGAUCACGCUGCGUUUCCGUGGCCGCGAGAUGGCUCACCAGCAGCUGGGGCUUGAGCUUCUGAACCGCGUGGCCGGCGAUGUCGGCGAGGCGGGCAAGGUUGAAGCCAUGCCCAAGCUGGAAGGGCGCCAGAUGGUCAUGAUGAUCGCCCCCCGCUAGGGGCGAUCCGUUUCCAGAUCAGCGGGACAGGGGACAUGGCCGGCGAAGUCACGAUUCUGGUUCAGCGCGAACCGGGUGCCGA